rnacentral:misc_RNA from 1 species
CGCCUGUCGUAUGCAGACCAGACUCAUUGCACCGGCGCAGCCUCAUGAGCUCUUUGCACGCCAUCAAACUCGGUGUCUCGUAAUCCAAGGAAAAGAAGGAUAAAGUGCGAAAGGCGAGGGGUAGAGGCCGAAGGUGAGGAGGCUCGGCCGGCCCUUCCCCUGCUAUUGUCAGGGUGCAGCCCAGAUUCUAUGGCGCACCCUUGCCUACAACAAGGCGGCCGCACAGCGGCAGCGAAGGCGUCACAAACGCUGUGCGGUCACACUUUUUCGGCGGAGCAUCAUCGUUUUCUGUGCUCGAUAGCUCAGACGAGAGGUUGGGCUGGCCGUGUCUGGGUCCCCGUCCCUGUCGUGGAGCGCCUUUCUCUCCGACUGGCCGACAGCCCAUUUACACCGGCGCGACUGGUGAGCUCCAACGGGAGCGUAUGUGUGUAUCACAGCUCCCAGUUUGUGGAGCCGCUAGACGUCCUGCGAGAGCGGUGGAAGGCCCACGUGCGCGGCCUUGAAAACGCGGAGAAGGACCGCAACGCGGCUCUACUGGCAUCGCAGGCGGCGCCAGACGCACUUCCGCUGAGCACCAAUGGCGAACGAUUUGACAGUGCUACGGAGGAGUGCAUGCUCCGUAUCAUGAGCAGCCGCGCGAACGCAAGUCGGUACUGGGCAACGGAGGCUGAGGCGAAAUGGCUGUAUCGCGCACCGUUCACAGACGCCCACCUCUCGGAUCCGGGAAACCGCGUCGUCUCUCACGCGAACGAGCUUUGCCGUCCCAUGGCGCUCUACAACGUGGCGGGCACUGCCGACCCUAGCCGCUUUACCCCGCUCACGUGCCGCCGCUACGACCCGGUGAAUUACGCCGGUCGUUUCUACAGACCUGCGGUGGCCGUGCGCAUGAAGGCGUUCGCGCUUCAGUACAACUGUCUCCACGAGCCGCAGUGGAUCACACAGCGCCGCGCGAUGGGCCUCGGACUUUCCAUACUGCCACAUAUUCCACUUCUUGCUUUUUCGCUUGAUAUGCCGCUUUUUCUUAUCAACAUUGGCGCCACGCACAGAAGGAGUGCACCGGCGCCAAGGGUCUCACCCGCGAUAGCCGCGGACUGCAUCGUCACAUCAGAAGACGUCCUCGAGGCCCCCGAGCGUCAGUGCGAGAGACGCUUGCUGUUGCCGUCGCUUUCAUGACGGUAGUCCUCCCCCGCUCCUCGCCGCCGAUCCGGUUCACUGCGUUCUACGCUUUGCUGCUGCCCGGGCAACACGCCGAAAGCUGCACACGGCUUGGCGUGUGUGUGUGUGUUGCGCCUCUGCCCAUACUUCCCUCGUGUUGGUUUCUGCUUCGUUACGACUGCUUCCUCAUGUUUUUUUUUUUUUAUUGUUUGCCCCGCCAAGCGCAUCCUGCUUUCUCCUUGUCGAAGACUUGCUCUACUUUCACGGAGGACAACCGUGCAUCUGUGCGGGGGAAGGCGAGGAAGCGUGAGAACCCCACUCACCCUCUUCUCCUGCAGCUUCGGAGCAGCUCUACCCCCGCGCUCCACCCAAACGGCAACGGUGCGCGAACGCGUCCCCUCUCCCUCUCCGCCUCCCUCCUUAUGUUGUGUUGCCGCCACGUCCCUCCACAUCGCAUUCCCUUCUAUUCUUUUUUGUUUCCCAUAAACCUUUCUUGCUCCUCUGCGGCACCUUCCACACGGAG